rnacentral:rRNA from 1 species
AACGAACGCUGGCGGCAGGCUUAACACAUGCAAGUCGAACGAGAUCUUCGGAUCUAGUGGCAGACGGGUGAGGAACACGUGGGAACAUCCCUUUCAGUUCGGAAUAACGUUGGGAAACUAACGCUAAUACCGGAUACGUCCUUCGUGAGAAAGAUUUAUCGCUGAAAGAUUGGUCCGCGUCUGAUUAGCUAGUUGGUGAGGUAAUGGCUCACCAAGGCUACGAUCAGUAGAUGAUCUGAGAGGAUGAUCAGCCACAUUGGGACUGAGACACGGCCCAAACUCCUACGGGAGGCAGCAGUGGGGAAUAUUGGACAAUGGGCGCAAGCCUGAUCCAGCCAUGCCGCGUGAGUGAUGACGGCCUUCGGGUUGUAAAGCUCUUUUGUCCGGGAAGAUAAUGACUGUACCGGAAGAAUAAGCCCCGGCAAACUUCGUGCCAGCCGCCGCAGUAA